GACGAACGCUGGCGGCGUGCUUAACACAUGCAAGUCGAACGGAAAGGCCCUGCGUUUGUGGGGUGCUCGAGUGGCGAACGGGUGAGUAACACGUGAGUAACCUGCCCUUGACUUUGGGAUAACUUCAGGAAACUGGGGCUAAUACCGGAUAGGAGCUCCUGCUGCAUGGUGGGGGUUGGAAAGUUUCGGCGGUUGGGGCUGGACUCGCGGCUUAUCAGCUUGUUGGUGGGGUAGUGGCUUACCAAGGCUUUGACGGGUAGCCGGCCUGAGAGGGUGACCGGCCACAUUGGGACUGAGAUACGGCCCAGACUCCUACGGGAGGCAGCAGUGGGGAAUAUUGCACAAUGGGCGGAAGCCUGAUGCAGCAACGCCGCGUUCGGGAUGACGGCCUUCGGGUUGUAAACCGCUUUCGCCUGUGACGAAGCGUGAGUGACGGUAAUGGGUAAAGAAGCACCGGCUAACUACGUG
rnacentral:rRNA from 1 species